GAGUGGCGAACUGGUGAGUAACACGUGGGAAACCUGCCCAGAAGCGGGGGAUAACACCUGGAAACAGAUGCUAAUACCGCAUAACAACUUGGACCGCAUGGUCCGAGUUUGAAAGAUGGCUUCGGCUAUCACUUUUGGAUGGUCCCGCGGCGUAUUAGCUAGAUGGUGGGGUAACGGCUCACCAUGGCAAUGAUACGUAGCCGACCUGAGAGGGUAAUCGGCCACAUUGGGACUGAGACACGGCCCAAACUCCUACGGGAGGCAGCAGUAGGGAAUCUUCCACAAUGGACGAAAGUCUGAUGGAGCAACGCCGCGUGAGUGAAGAAGGGUUUCGGCUCGUAAAACUCUGUUGUUAAAGAAGAACAUAUCUGAGAGUAACUGUUCAGGUAUUGACGGUAUUUAACCAGAAAGCCACGGCUAACUACGUGCCAGCAGCCGCGGUAAUACGUAGGUGGCAAGCGUUGUCCGGAUUUAUUGGGCGUAAAGCGAGCGCAGGCGGUUUUUUAAGUCUGAUGUGAAAGCCUUCGGCUCAACCGAAGAAGUGCAUCGGAAACUGGGAAACUUGAGUGCAGAAGAGGACAGUGGAACUCCAUGUGUAGCGGUGAAAUGCGUAGAUAUAUGGAAGAACACCAGUGGCGAAGGCGGCUGUCUGGUCUGUAACUGACGCUGAGGCUCGAAAGUAUGGGUAGCAAACAGGAUUAGAUACCCUGGUAGUCCAUACCGUAAACGAUGAAUGCUAAGUGUUGGAGGGUUUCCGCCCUUCAGUGCUGCAGCUAACGCAUUAAGCAUUCCGCCUGGGGAGUACGGCCGCAAGGCUGAAACUCAAAGGAAUUGACGGGGGCCCGCACAAGCGGUGGAGCAUGUGGUUUAAUUCGAAGCUACGCGAAGAACCUUACCAGGUCUUGACAUACUAUGCAAAUCUAAGAGAUUAGACGUUCCCUUCGGGGACAUGGAUACAGGUGGUGCAUGGUUGUCGUCAGCUCGUGUCGUGAGAUGUUGGGUUAAGUCCCGCAACGAGCGCAACCCUUAUUAUCAGUUGCCAGCAUUAAGUUGGGCACUCUGGUGAGACUGCCGGUGACAAACCGGAGGAAGGUGGGGAUGACGUCAAAUCAUCAUGCCCCUUAUGACCUGGGCUACACACGUGCUACAAUGGAUGGUACAACGAGUUGCGAACUCGCGAGAGUAAGCUAAUCUCUUAAAGCCAUUCUCAGUUCGGAUUGUAGGCUGCAACUCGCCUACAUGAAGUCGGAAUCGCUAGUAAUCGCGGAUCAGCAUGCCGCGGUGAAUACGUUCCCGGGCCUUGUACACACCGCCCGUCACACCAUGAGAGUUUGUAACACCCAAAGUCGGUGGGGUAACCUUUUAGGAACCAGCCGCCUAAGGUGGGACAGAUGAUUAGGG
rnacentral:rRNA from 2 species